rnacentral:lncRNA from 1 species
AAAAAAAAAACCCUACUUUUUUUUUCUUUUUCUUUUUGGGAGCAAGAGGGAGCUCCACCUCCUUCUCCUGCGUGGGGCGGUGAGGCCGUGCCACGAGGAGCCCCGGGAGAAGGGGGAGCAGGGCAGGGAAAGUUCAGCGCAUUGGCACCUGCAAAGCGCUGCGAAGGCCAAAAACAACAACGAACCCAGCUAAUUUGACUUCCUCUCUCCCAUGAUCCAGAUGUUCAGCUGUAGCAUCCUUACUUCCAGCUUGAAGCACUUAACAGAGGCCUGUUCCUCAGCCGUUUGCACUUCUUCGGCGUGCAUCACACAAUCGACCGGUGCUGUAUCCGGGUAGCCUGCCUUCACACACGUGCUAACAACCUGCUCUGCCAGGAAGUCAAGAGACGCUCCUUCAGUGACAAUGGACCACUACUGCCUAGUAUGCACGUCUUACCUCCCCCUUGCACAUCUCGAGUGUGCUUUGCACGCCUUCAUUUAGCCCCGGGGCACUGGGGAGGCCCACAAGAAGAGUUACGCUCAGUCCUGUGCAAAUGGGGAAACUGAGGCAGAGAAAAAGAGAGCAACUAACUUGCUCAAUGCGGUUGAAUCCACAUCCCCUGGGAACACGAAUGCACAGCCACCGGGAUUACCUGGCAGGGGAAAUCCCAGGACCGAGGUAACGCAAUUAAAAAGGCACCGUGGAGGGUGCAGCUUGCGGGCAGGACUCCCUGCAAGAGCCUCCUAGCUCGCUUCCAGCGGGAGGAUCUCGGCUGUGUGCCGACUUGAAGGAAAUAGGAGAUUUCUUCCUAGCUUGCUCCUGCAGCCGGAGGCCCAAGGGCAAGCGAAACCUGGGGGCAUCCAAACCCCGA